rnacentral:misc_RNA from 1 species
AACGCACCUUGCACCCUUUGGUAUUCCGAAGGGUAUGCCUGUUUGAGUAUCCAGAAUAACUCAACUCCUUAAUUAAAGGAUGUUUGGAUUUUGAAGGCUUUUGCUGGUAUUCAUUUACCAGCUCCUUUUAAAUGUAUUAGCUGAACUUGCGGUAGAUCGGCGUUUAGUAUGAUAAUUAUCUAUGCUACACACCAAUUUAUUGGAUCAGCUUCUAAUGGUCCAUUAACUUGGACUACUUCACUUGAGAAGUAUACACUAUUCCUUUAGAUCUCAAAUCAGGUAGGAUUACCCGCUGAACUUAA